rnacentral:lncRNA from 1 species
CGGCUUCUCUGAAGCCUUUGCAGAACCCAGUGGCAGAGCUGGCUGUAGUUUACCUUCCCAGCCUACCCUGGAAGAGAGGAACUCACCUGCACAGAGACACUGUCUGUCUCCUUCCCAACUAAAGAGCAUGUGAUUUCAGACCCGGAAGGCCAGCUCUGGGGUGCUCCCUAAAGGCCCAUUCUCUUUUCUCACUGGCAGACACCAGGUUCUGACUCAACCUUGGCUCCUGAGCAAUGUGUAGUACCUUCUGUCCCCCCGGAGGUCCUCUUAACAAGCCCCAAACCAGGCCAUUUGCAGUGAUUCCCUCCCUGGGUCCUUGACGACGGAGCCUUGUCCACCCCGCUCUACUCGAGAGAAGAUUCAUGAGGCAGUAGGGAAGGCUUUGGAGGCUUGAAGUGGCUUGAUCCACCGUGGAAAGAACCUUGUACAAGGAGAGCAGCCUAGAGAACCAGGUGCUGAGGCCCUAUCGGUGAAGGCACCACAUGCGCGGUUUGCAGAAGGCUGAGAAAUAAGGCUCAGGCUGGGCUAAAAGUGUCUCCCCACUUCAAGCCGGCUCCCAUGGUGCCUGUCAGAAGUUGCUAUGAAGGUUGCUGGAUCCGCCACGCUUCAAGAUGGAAGUACCAGGAAAGAUGCACCAGCCUGUGUAAUGGUGAUGCGCGUAUGUGCGUGUGUGUUACUCAUUUAUAGAUAGAAUCAACUUUUCGAUUGGACUCAGGGAGAGCCACAUCAGGUGCUGGGGCCUUAGACAAAACCCUGUGACCAGGGAAGUCAUAGGCCCCAGCAGGGACACAACCGCCACAGCUGUAUUAAGUGAUGUGGCGGCUAAGAUGCUCCCCUCUGCGAUUGUGUUUGCUAUUAUAACGCUAUUAUAAUGGCUGUUUAUCAUCACCACUGUCAGUGUGUUUGGGUAUUUUCCUGUUUUUUCACGCCUUUCCUCAUUUGUGGUUUGUGUGUGUGUGUGUGUAUGUGUAAGGAAUACCCCGAGACUUGCGAUGCCGAGAGGGCUCAAGGUUUCUGUACUUUGCUGGAGUUGGAGAACAGUCAGACAUCUUUAUUACUCCCUCCAAGGACCACGGACCCCUGCAGAAAGGAGGGGUGGAAAGGAUACAGGAGCAGGAGGCAAAAGGAUCGGAGUGCUGUGCAGGGCUAUCCUCGGAGCCAAGCCGCCGCCUUCUUCAGGUCUGCUGGGUCUCUUGAAAACUCUCACUAUGGCCGGGCUUGUUGACUGUUGAUAUUCCUUUAUAUAGAAGGAGGGGUGGGUGGGUC